rnacentral:tRNA from 1 species
AUUCUUGUAGUUGAAUACAACAGUAGUUUUUCAGGCUACGGGUCUGGGUUAAAAUCCUUGUAAGAAUU